AUGUCGAAAUGUCUUCUGAGGUUAGCCAAUAAUUUCAAGAUAGACAAUAGGAUAGUUCAGUGGGACGAACUUAUCAGUAGUGACACCAUACUGAAUGAGUUGGCUCAUGCAUUAAGUAGGUGCGGGUGGCCUGCAAGGACCUUUGAGGAGAUACGGAAAGAACUUCUUAGGUUGCAUGUAAGGUGGACGAAGCAACAACAUAAGAGUGCAACUUUCCUAAGGACUGCAGCAGAGCAUACUUAUUUAUGGACUGACGAAAGCGAAGACGAAGACGAUAUCUUCAUGCCGAGCAGCAAGGCCAAGACACCUGCAUCGUCGAAGGGCAAGAGUGCCUCAUCGUCGAAGGGCAAGAGUGCUGCAUGCCUGCAUCGACGGAGGAUGACGAUGAUGUCUUCAUGUAGUUUGUAUGUUGCAUUAUCUAAGCUAAGUUGUACCGUUUAA
rnacentral:rRNA from 1 species